UGCCAGCCGCCGCGGUAAUACGAAGGGACCUAGCGUAGUUCGGAAUUACUGGGCUUAAAGAGCUCGUAGGUGGUUAAAAAAGUUGAUGGUGAAAUCCCAAGGCUCAACCUUGGAACUGCCAUCAAAACUUUUUAGCUAGAGUAUGAUAGAGGAAAGUGGAAUUUCUAGUGUAGAGGUGAAAUUCGUAGAUAUUAGAAAGAACACCAAAUGCGAAGGCAACUUUCUGGAUCAUUACUGACACUGAGGAGCGAAAGCAUGGGUAGCGAAGAGGAUUAGAUA
rnacentral:rRNA from 1 species